rnacentral:lncRNA from 1 species
GAGGAAGAGGAGGUAGAGGAGGAUGAUGAGGAGGAAGAGGAGGCAGAGGAGGAGGAUGAUGAUGAGGAGGAGGAAGAGGAGGUAGAGGAGGAUGAUGAGGAUGAUGAUGAUGAUGAUGAUUAUGAGGGUGAUGAUGAUAAGAAUGAUGAGGAUGAUGAUGAUGAUGAGGAGGACGAUGAUGAUGAUGAGAACGAUGAUGAUGAAGAUGAGGAUGAUGAUGAGGAGGAUGAUGAGGAGGAGAAUGAUGAUGAGGACGAUGAUGUCGAUGAUAAUGAUGAUAACGAGGACGGAGAUGAUGAGGAUGAUGAUUAGGAUGAUUAGGAUAAGGAUGAUGAUUAGGAUGAUUAGAAUGAGGAGGAUGAUGAGGAUGAUGAUGAUAAUGAUGAUUAGGAUGAGGAUGAUGAUGAUGAGGACGAUGAUGUCGAUGAUAAUGAUGAUAACGAGGACGGAGAUGAUGAGGAUGAUGAUUAGGAUGAUUAGGAUAAGGAUGAUGAUUAGAAUGAUUAGAAUGAGGAGGAUGAUGAUGAGGACGAUGAUGUCGAUGAUAAUGAUGAUAACGAGGACGGAGAUGAUGAGGAUGAUGAUAAGGAUGAUUAGGAUAAGGAUGAUGAUUAGGAUGAUUAGGAUGAGGAGGAUGAUGAGGAUGAUGAUAAGGAUGAUUAGGAUAAGGAUGAUGAUUAGGAUGAUUAGGAUGAGGAGGAUGAUGAGGAUGAUGAUGAGGACGAUGAUGAUGAGGAUGAUGAUACUGAUGAUGACGAUGAUAAGGACGAUUAGGAUAAGGAUGAUGAUUAGAAUGAUUAGGAUGAGGAUGAUGAUGAUGAUGAUGAUGAUAAUGAUUAGGAUGAGGAUGAUGAUGAUGAUUAGGAUGUGGAUGAGGAUGAUAAGGAUAAUCAUGACGAUGAGGACAAUGAUGAUGAUGAGGAUGAUGAUGAUAAUGAGGAUGAUGAGGAUGAUUAGGAUGUGGAUGAGGAUGAUAAGGAUGAUGAUUAGAAUGAUUAGGAUGAUAAGGAUAUCAUGACGAUGUGGACGACGACAAUGAUGAUGAUGAUGAUGAUGACAAUGACGAUGAUUAGGAUGAGGUAAGGCUGGAGAAGUGUCUUGCCUAAAGACACAAUAAUGAACUGGUCUGAGCUAAUCUGAUUUUGUCAUCAUAAUAAUAAGAAUAAGA